AGAGACAGCAGUCGCCACGGUAAUACAGAGGGUGCGAGCGUUAAUCGGAUUUACUGGGCGUAAAGCGUGCGUAGGCGGCUUUUUAAGUCGGAUGUAAAAUCCCUGAGCUUAACUUAGGAAUUGCAUUCGAUACUGGGAAGCUAGAGUAUGGGAGAGGAUGGUAGAAUUCCAGGUGUAGCGGUGAAAUGCGUAGAGAUCUGGAGGAAUACCGAUGGCGAAGGCAGCCAUCUGGCCUAAUACUGACGCUGAGGUACGAAAGCAUGGGGAGCAAACAGGAUUAGAUACCCCAGUAGUCCCUGUCUCUUAUAC
rnacentral:rRNA from 1 species